rnacentral:rRNA from 1 species
GACGAACGCUGGCGGCGUGCUUAACACAUGCAAGUCGAACGGAAAGGCCCUGCUUUUGUGGGGUGCUCGAGUGGCGAACGGGUGAGUAACACGUGAGUAACCUGCCCUUGACUUUGGGAUAACUUCAGGAAACUGGGGCUAAUACCGGAUAGGAGCUCCUGCUGCAUGGUGGGGGGUGGAAAGUUUCGGCGGGUGGGGAUGGACUCGCGGCUUAUCAGCUUGUUGGUGGGGUAGUGGCUUACCAAGGCUUUGACGGGUAGCCGGCCUGGGAGGGUGACCGGCCACAUUGGGACUGAGAUACGGCCCAGACUCCUACGGGAGGCAGCAGUGGGGAAUAUUGCACAAUGGGCGGAAGCCUGAUGCAGCAACGCCGCGUGCGGGAUGACGGCCUUCGGGUUGUAAACCGCUUUCGCCUGUGACGAAGCGUGAGUGACGGUAAUGGGUAAAGAAGCACCGGCUAACUACGUG